AGCGCCAAGACCGAGGCCCUGCAGGAGGAGCUGAAGGCAGCGCGCCUGCAGAUCAACGAGCUGAGCGGCAAGGUCAUGCAGCUGCAGUAUGAGAACCGCGUGCUCAUGUCCAACAUGCAGCGCUACGACCUGGCCUCACAUCUGGGUAUCCGUGGCAGCCCUCGCGACAGCGACGCCGAGAGCGAUGCGGGCAAGAAGGAGAGUGACGAUGACUCCCGGCCUCCCCAUCGCAAGCGCGAAGGGCCAAUCGGAGGCGAGAGCGACUCAGAGGAGGUGCGGAACAUCCGCUCCCUCACGCCUACCCGCUCCUUCUACCCAACACCUGGGCCCUGGCCCAAGAGCUUCUCA
rnacentral:lncRNA from 1 species